UACGGAGGGUGCGAGCGUUGUCCGGAUUUAUUGGGUUUAAAGGGUGCGUAGGUGGCUUUUUAAGUCAGUGGUGAAAUACAGCCGCUCAACGGUUGAGGUGCCAUUGAUACUGAAGAGCUUGAAACAAGUGGAGGCUGCCGGAAUGGAUGGUGUAGCGGUGAAAUGCAUAGAUAUCAUCCAGAACACCGAUUGCGAAGGCAGGUGGCUACGUUUGAUUUGACACUGAGGCACGAAAGCGUGGGGAGCAAACAGG
rnacentral:rRNA from 1 species